rnacentral:lncRNA from 1 species
GAAGUACUUCAGUAAGUCCUCCUUCUCCUCAGCCGUCAGCUCGGCCGGCAGGUGCCUGACGAGGAGGGUGCGGUCUCCCCGGGGCGGAGAAAGCGAAGCGGAGCCUGGGCCGCCUCGGGACAGCGGCAUCGGCGGCUCAGGCCCCGCCAUCUAGCUUCCCUGCAGAAGCGGCCAGAGACGGAACCUCCGCGCAAGCUUCCGGCCGAACUCCCGCAGUCACCGAGGCUGAGCGGAAGAUAGUUUCCGCUUCGCGCUAAGGAUUCUGGACGCAGGGAAAUCCCGCGAGAGGAGAACUCCUCGCGAGAAUGGCCUCCGGGAGAGUCGCUCUUCUCUUUUCGGGACUGUUGCGGGGGAGAGCGCCUAGGAGUCGUGCUUUAAGUUUAAUGAGAGGUUGUAAUAAAAUAAAGACUGAAAGAGACGCCACUGUUAGAAGGACAGCAAUCUCAUCGAAGAACGUCAGUCAUGCAAAAGAAAAAUACUGUAAUCCCAGGGAUCAAGUACUGAAGGAACCGUGCAAGGGCUGUUGCUCCCUGGGCUCUUAAUCCAGAUUUUUCAGAAAGUGAAUCUGGCUGGUGAAUGGAGAACGCUCGGGAAAUGUCAAGUGUGUUCCUAGCAUUUAGGACUGGUGAAACACAAGUCUCCAGCCUCAGAUUCAACAGUGCAGGCGAGAGAGCACGCCGUUAUCAGUCGGCAAAUACAGGCUGAAAGUUCUCGCCACGGUUUGUUUAUUAAACAAAAUUGGCUUCUUCCAUGAGUAAAUACCUAAAAAUGUGUUAGCGUACGUAUUCAUGGAUGUAAGUUCUCUUCUCACCACCUCACGACUGAGAGUACUGACGUAGAUUAAGACUCAUUGCUAACCAAUAGGUGAGAUCUGAGCCCUUGCACCCAAGUUGGAGUCUACACUGUUGUGACUAAGAUUCGGCCCUGGUGGUCUAAAGUAAUAUCCCUUACAGAUUAAUCAAGAUGUGUAUGCUCACUCCGUAGUCCUAGGGUGUCUUUUACUUCUAAUUUGCUUGAUGGAUAUGAGCCAGUUAGUACACAGUACUUCAAAGAUCCGCUUUGAGGAAGCAUUGCAUGGGGAGAUAAAUUACCAAAAUAUUGAGUGACUAGAGACAGAUCUUGUGAACCUUAGAGGUUUGUUAGGAACCUUGCUCAUGGGAACAGAAGCCGACAGACUUAAGAGUGUGUGGAAGGAAUAGUUAAAUUUUACGUUUAAAAAUCUCUUUGAUUUCACUAUGAGUAAUAUAGCAGAAACCGGGCAUGGUGGCACACACCUUUCAUUCUAAGUUCCCAAGAGGCAGAGACAGAUGCAUCUCAAGUGAUUUUGAGGCCAGCGUGGGUGACACUGAGUUCCAGGACAACCAGAGCUAUGUAAAGAC